ACCUGCGGAGGGAUGAUUACUGGAGUUACCGCUCUACAACGCUUUGUGAACAUACCUUAACUGUUGCUUCGGCGGGCAGGAGGACAACCCCCCUCGGGGGGCGGUCCCCCUCCCGGCCGCGCCCUCACGGGCGUGGCGCCCGCCGGAGGAUACCAAAACUCUAUUUGUAACGACGUUUCUCUCUGAGGUGGCACAAGCAAAUAAUGUAAAACUUUUAACAACGGAUCUCUUGGUUCUGGCAUCGAUGAAGAACGCAGCGAAAUGCGAUAAGUAAUGUGAAUUGCAGAAUUCAGUGAAUCAUCGAAUCUUUGAACGCACAUUGCGCCCGCCAGCAUUCUGGCGGGCAUGCCUGGUUUCGAGCGUGAUUUCAACCCUCAAGCCCAGCUUGGUGUUGGGGGGCUACGGUCGACGUAGGCCCUUAAAGGUGGUGGCGGAGCCUCCCGGAGCCUCCUUUGCGUAGUAACUUAACGUCUCGCACUGGGAUCCGGAGGGACUCUUGCCGUUAAACCCUCAAAACUUUUACUGUUGACCUUCGGAUCAGUAGAUACCGCUGACUUAAGCUAUCAUACCGAGAGAG
rnacentral:rRNA from 1 species